GGGGGAUAUUGCACAAUGGAGGAAACUCUGAUGCAGCAACGCCGCGUGAGGGAAGACGGUUCUCGGAUUGUAAACCUCUGUCCUUGGUGACGAAACAAAUGACGGUAGCCAAGGAGGAAGCUCCGGCUAACUACGUGCCAGCAGCCGCGGUAAUACGUAGGGAGCAAGCGUUGUCCGGAUUUACUGGGUGUAAAGGGUGCGUAGGCGGCUCUGCGAGUCAGGCGUGAAAACUAUGGGCUUAACCCAUAGACUGCGUUUGAAACUGUGGGGCUUGAGUGAAGUAGAGGUAGGCGGAAUUCCCGGUGUAGCGGUGAAAUGCGUAGAGAUCGGGAGGAACACCAGUGGCGAAGGCGGCCUACUGGGCUUUAACUGACGCUGAAGCACGAAAGCAUGGGUAGCAAAC
rnacentral:rRNA from 1 species